ACGCUUUAGUUUUGCCAGCACAAUGCCCGAGUUGGCUCCCGGAUAACGGUAAGAUGUCGUAAAAACACUAAAAGUAAGCAUUUCAAGCGCCAUGAGACUUACAUUGAUCGAUUUUUAUAUUUUAUACUGUAGUACAUAGUCUAUGUAAAACAAUAAUAGCUGUGGCAAGUAAAGGAGACCAGACUUUAAAGGAGGCUGUCCAGAGAAUGUCUUUUGCGUUAUUCACUAAUAACCUCUGCUAUAAACUUAACUGGUCUGGUAUUACUAUAAAUGACAAUGAAAGUAACUUUGUAAAACAAAGACUUACACUUGCUUAAAAGAGCUGUAAAAAGAAAUCCUGCAACAACUUCAGCAACUGUAUCAGAUUUUCAAUAUGAGGUUGUGCGUUUUUUGCGUGGUGCAUCAGACCGCAAUGGCGGAAAAAAAGUUAGACUAGACCAAAAAAACAGUUAAGCCAAGAAUAAAGUGAUGCCUACAUCAAGUUUUCCAACGCCAUUAAAUAAAGAGGCAUUUUUUAGUUCAGAAGAUGAAUAUUAUUGUUAAAUAAAAUAAGCAUCUUUAUUUACAAAUUUGUUAUCUUUAUUUUAUUGAAAACUAUUUUAUAUAUUUUUAAAUAUUUUAAUUUUUAAACUCAAUAGAGUAAAGUUUUUGUGCAAUGAGUAUUACUGUUUCUGUGUUUUUCAUAUUCAUUCCCUUUUACAGUAACCUUUUGUAUAUGAGAUUGUUGAUGAAAAUUUAAAUCGUGAUAUUGAAUCUUACCAAAGAAUAAAGAAACCUCAACCAGAGUUAUAUUUCAUAGAAUUAUGUUGACCAUGAUCCAACUAUUGCCAUGGGUAUAAGAUAGAUGUUUGGUUUGCAAACUGGAUUUAAAUCAUACUUUCUUUAAACAUAUUUAUUUGCUCUUUAUAUGCUUUCAAAUAAUUUAUUAGAAAAAAUUAUAUUCUUAUUUACUAAACCGUUUUAUUUCAAUCAAUUAUUUGAUUUUUUAUAUUUUUCAAGGAGUUUUUAUAGUAUAUUAUAUUGGGCUAUGUUUUUUUUUUUUGUAUGGUGAAAACUAUGUUCAAUUUACAAACUAUAUUUUAGUUUAUUAAAAUAUAUUUUUAUUGAUGUGUUUUGCCUCUGAUUCUUUCUUUUUCAGAUGUGCACUUGUGUCUUGGGCUUAUGCU